AGUGAACGCUGGCGGUAGGCCUAACACAUGCAAGUCGAACGGCAGCACAGUAAGAGCUUGCUCUUACGGGUGGCGAGUGGCGGACGGGUGAGGAAUACAUCGGAAUCUACUUUUUCGUGGGGGAUAACGUAGGGAAACUUACGCUAAUACCGCAUACGACCUACGGGUGAAGGCAGGGGAUCUUCGGACCUUGCGCGAUUGAAUGAGCCGAUGUCGGAUUAGUUAGUUGGCGGGGUAAAGGCCCACCAAGGCGACGAUCCGUAGCUGGUCUGAGAGGAUGAUCAGCCACACUGGAACUGAGACACGGUCCAGACUCCUACGGGAGGCAGCAGUGGGGAAUAUUGGACAAUGGGCGCAAGCCUGAUCCAGCCAUACCGCGUGGGUGAAGAAGGCCUUCGGGUUGUAAAGCCCUUUUGUUGGGAAAGAAAAGCAGCAGGUUAAUACCCCGCUGUUCUGACGGUACCCAAAGAAUAAGCACCGGCUAACUUCGUG
rnacentral:rRNA from 1 species